ACUGCAGUUAAAAAAAAUCAAAACAAAUGAGGUGUGCCGUGGCUGAUAGUUUGUCACAUUCACAACUUUAUACAUGUGUUUAUUGACAAAUACUGAACAAAG